CCUAUGGGAGGCAGCAGUGAGGAAUAUUGGUCAAUGGGCGGGAGCCUGAACCAGCCAAGUCGCGUGAGGGAAGACGGUCCUAUGGAUUGUAAACCUCUUUAGGCGGGGAGCAAUGCCGGGCACGCGUGCCCGGAGGGAGAGUACCCGCAGAAUAAGCAUCGGCUAACUCCGUGCCAACAGCCGCGGUAAUACGGAGGAUGCGAGCGUUAUCCGGAUUUAUUGGGUUUAAAGGGUGCGUAGGCGGAUUUUUAAGUCAGCGGUAAAAUGUCCGGGCUCAACCCGGGCCGGCCGUUGAAACUGGGGAUCUUGAGUGGGUGAGAAGUAUGCGGAAUGCGUGGUGUAGCGGUGAAAUGCAUAGAUAUUACACAGAACACCGAUUGCGAAGGCAGCUUGCUAGGCCGGAUCUGACACUGAUGCACGAAAGCGUGGGGAUCGAACAGGAUUAGAUACCCCAGUAGUC
rnacentral:rRNA from 1 species